GGCCGCUCCUGCUGUUCUUCUCUCUUAGCUGCAUUAACAUAAGCGGAGACGAAAGGGAAGACGACCACAUUCGCGCGUCGAGGGGAAAUGCUCCUUGCGAGAGCGUAAAUCCCCCCUCGGGUCGAAAUCAAGAAACACUCGACGGGCAGACGGAGCCUUUCCUUGGCUCCGACGCGCGCCUUGUCGACUGGGCGCUGACGGGAGUGAAACUCGUUGGGGGCUUCUCUUUUUCUCCUGAUUUCAAUAGCGACUCUCCACCUCUAGAUCGGCCGGUUACACUGAGUGGCCGACUCAGUCGUCCGCCUGACUCCCAGGUCGGCGGCAACUCCGAAACUCUCCUCGCCUUCGAGUCUACGCACACACAGGCACAAAGAUGCGGACUCUUCUCUUGACCGGUGUCCUGGCCCUGCUUCUCCUGGCUGAUCCGAGCUGGGCGCAACGCAGGAGAGGACAAGGUGCCAACCGCGGUCAGUCCCGCAACCAUCCC
rnacentral:lncRNA from 1 species